CCCUACGGGGCGCACCAGGCGAGAAAACUUUGCAAUGUGCGAAAGCACGACAAGGUUAAUCCGAGUGUUUUCUGCUAAAGAAAUCUUUUGUCAGUCCUAAAAACACUGAUGAAUAAGGGGUGGGCAAGUUCUGGUGUCAGCCGCCGCGGUAAAACCAGCACCUCAAGUGGUCAGGAGGAUUAUUGGGCCUAAAGCAUCCGUAGCCUGCUUUGUAAGUUUUCGGUUAAAUCCAUGUGCUCAACAUAUGGGCUGCCGGGAAUACUGCACAGCUAGGGAGUGGGAGAGGUAGACGGUACUCGGUAGGAAGGGGUAAAAUCCUUUGAUCUAUUGAUGACCACCUGUGGCGAAGGCGGUCUACCAGAACACGUCCGACGGUGAGGGAUGAAAGCUGGGGGAGCAAACCGGAUUAGAUACCCGGGUAGUCCCAGCUGUAAACUAUGCAAACUCAGUGAUGCGUUGGCUUGUAGCCAGUGCAGUGCCGCAGGGAAGCCGUUAAGUUUGCCGCCUGGGAAGUACGUACGCAAGUAUGAAACUUAAAGGAAUUGGCGGGGGAGCACCACAAGGGGUGAAGCCUGCGGUUCAAUUGGAGUCAACGCCAGAAAUCUUACCCGGAGAGACAGCAGAAUGAAGGUCAAGCUGAAGACUUUACCAGACAAGCUGAGAGGAGGUGCAUGGCC
rnacentral:rRNA from 1 species